rnacentral:lncRNA from 1 species
CUACUUAGGGAGCUACCAUUUGAUUUUUAUGGGGGGGGCUAGGAUGAAAUUUGAAAAAAUAGGCAGGACAGGAGUUUUGAGUAAAAAAAAGGCAGGAUGAGACACUUGCAAAAAAAAAAGUCAGGACGACAAUUUAGGUAAAAAAAAGUCAGGAUAAAAUAAAAAAAAAAGGCAGGACCGAACAGAGUGAAAAAUAAAAAGGCAGGACAGAGAUUACAGCUAAAAAAAUGCAGGACAAAAUUUUUCAUCCUAGCCCCCCCCCC